rnacentral:rRNA from 1 species
UAGGGAAUAUUGGUAAUCUGGGAAACCGGGAACCAGCAACGCCGCGUGCGCGAUGAAGGCCUUCGGGUUGUAAAGCGCUUUUUGAGAGGAUGAGGAAGGACAGUAAUCUUAGAAUAAGCCUCGGCUAACUACGUGCCAGCAGCCGCGGUAAAACGUAGGAGGCGAGCGUUAUCCGGAUUUCCUGGGCGUAAAGCGUGUGUAGGCGGUUUGAUAAGUUGGAUGUGAAAGCUCCUGGCUCAACGUGGAGAGGUCGUUGAAAACUAUCAGACUUGA